GUUAUCCAGAUCUCUUUGAAUCUUGUUCCUGUCAACUGACUUAUUAGUGCCAUCUCCUAAUUCUGUGUCAACUUGACAAGCCUGCUGUCUUUCCCUUCAUCCAAGUUGCCAAUAAAAAUGCUCAACAAGGCAGAGUGCUUUAGCAAGACCUGGAGAGAUCUCCUACAGGUAAACACGUUGCCAUGGUCUUUACACCUUGGGUAUGAUCAUUCACCCAAGCAUGGAGUCACAUAGUGUCCACGUUGUUCCUCUUGUUCAAAGGCCUUGCUGCAGUUCAUGCAUGCGGAAUCUAUAGCUGUCCCAUGACUUACCAGCCUAGCAGAAAGCAGCACAUCAGAAAAGGAAGUUAAGCUACAGGAUUCAUGGGAUUAUGGAUGCUUAGAGAUGAAAGAGGUUUAGAGGUCAUUUUGACCAACCUCCUGCUGCAAGAAUUCCAUUUUUGGCAUUGCCGACGAAUCCUACAUGUUAAAGAACAUCUCUUUGAUGAUAGUCAAGAAAGAAUCUAGACAUUCGCUCACCUCCUGCACUGUGAGCUCCUUGAGGGUUUAUCUUUUAAAAACCGUAUACCUGUUUUACAAGGAUCUCACAAAGAUUAACAAUAUGUAUGCUAUGAAGGAUCCCAUCUGCCUCAGAGAAGAUACGCUUUUCAUCACAGACUGUAUACUUUUUACAGUUCUUAUCUAUUUAUUCUACUGCAAAAACUGCCGAUUCUACAGAGCCUAUUAAUUCCACUGGGAAAACAUGUACGGAAUGUGCUCAUGAGUAUGGGACUUCCUGUAAUUGUUGGAAAGAAGAAAAAGGCUGAUAGAAAAAACAUUUUGGCCUGGCACUCAGGAGAAAACUUCUGCUGAGGAAUGAACAGGGAAAAACAAUGAUGGACCACCUCAAGGAACAAAUCGGAUAGCUUCGACUUCCCCUCUGGAAGCCCUGCUGCGCUGGGAUGCACCUAUCCCUACUUCUUAGAUGUUCCCAUAUGUUCUCAACAGCAUUCUGUCCCUCCUAAGCAGUGUCACUAAAGCUAGCUGGUCUCUUAGGAUUGUUACCUUUAUUGAUGAUUUUCCCUUUGUGCUUCCUGGUGUCUGGCACCAAGACCACACCCCUACUUCUCCAAUGGCCCUUUCCCUCAGUAAGCUUAGCUUAUUGCUCACCUCCCACCUUCUCCCUGAACCCCAGCAGAAAGACAUGGACCUGUCAGAUGCUCCCGAUAUUUAAGUGUCUAUGCCAAAAUCUCAUGUGGACCUUGUUUGUUCAAAUGAGUUACUAUUGAGAGAGACAGCAAAGUCAUCUUCUUUAGGGAACCUGAAAAUUGUCUUCAGUCUGAAAAUUGUCUUCAGAAGGAGCAAAAGAUAGGUGAGAGGGAGAGGAUAAGAGGAGAGCCAUGUAUUCUCCUGACCAUGAGCUCGCGGUAGAUAAACCCCUGGUUACCUGAAGGCAGCACCGUGAGCACCAUCCGCUGUGACUCAUCGGAUGCUUGAUUAAUCCACUUGCUUGGGUGUCCAUGGAGCUGCCACUCUGCCACCCUACACCAGUACAUUCCUGCAUCCUCCAUCUCCACCUGAUGAAGCUUCAGGACAAAGUCUGUAGAGGAUGAACGGUAACAGUGCAGGUGCCUCCUGAGCCCCUCUUCCCCAUACUCCAGCAAGCCAUCAUGUUGCAAGUGCACCAGCAAUUUACUUCCAGAGUUUUCUCUGUUCCAGUACCACAUCACAGAGUACAGAGUGGCUGAGCUGCCUACACUCUCCAGGCUGCAGCGGAUGGCCACUUCUCUGUGCUCAGUCACAUUUUCGGUCCAGUACACUUUGGAGACACGUACCUUACUUCCUAGAAAAUAAAAUGGCAGUAAAUUAGAGAAUGCAGACUUUCAGAUUUGGAUACCACCUCUGAAAAAUCUAGUUCUCACUGGGAAGAUCUUAUAUUCUUUAGACAUCAGUGCAUUCAUUUUAUUUUUUUUAUUAUUUUUAUUUUUUGAGACAGAGUCUUGCUCUGUCACCCAGGCCAGAGUGCAGUGGCAUGAUCUCAGCUCACUGCAACCACUGCCUCCUGGGUUCAAGCAAUUCUCCUGCCUCAGCCUCCCAAGUGGCUGGGAUUACAGGCGUGUGCCACCAUGCCCAGCUGAUUUUUGUAUUUUUAGUAGAGACGGGGUUUCACCAUGUUGGCCAGAUUGCUCUUGAGCUCCUGGCUUCAAGUGAUCUGCCCACCUCAGCCUCCCAAAGUGUUGGGAUUACAGGCAUGAGCCACCACGUCCAGCCACAUUCAUUUUAAUUCUUGUCCUUGGUCCCUGUUUUUCUCUCACAUUUGCCAGGACAUUCUCUGCUAGGAAUCAAACCAGCCUCUUUCCUUCUUUAGCCCAACUGCUUGCCUGCUGGACCCUGCCAUUGAAAACUACACAGCUUCUGCAGGGCCCUCUGCCUGCUGCUUUUACUUACCCUUGAUUCACUCCUCCUCUACUUCCCAAAGUGGUCAUUCACAACUUUUAGCAGCUCCCUCAAGCCAUGUAUUCCACCAGUACCCCUCAUUCUUAGCAAAUUACUCUCCUCCCAUACACCCAGAUAUUAUCUUGGGUGUAAACGCAGAGAGAGAGGACGCCAUCCAAGAGACUGAACAUUUUGAUGCAAGUGUUAGAAGGCCAUCCAUGGGAGCUAUUUAGAUGAUUGGAUUAGACUGAGUUUUAAAGAGAUUUUGACAUUUACUUUUUUUCCCCUUGCUAACCAGCAGGUGAGGAUUUAGAAUAACAGCCAAAGUAGUUACAAACAAAAUAAAGAAAUUAUAGUGUGCAUUACAUUUUCAAUUCCA
rnacentral:lncRNA from 10 species